CUGAUGUCCAGUGCCACUUCAAGGACUAUUCUCCCUGAACUGCCAAAAGCCUGUCUACAAUAGACAACAUGACUCAUGUACAACGCCACAACACCACGAUGCACCUCAAAACACCAGAACUAGAACGUUCCACCUGCCACAUCUGGGCUCGAGGAUCUAGUGUGAGAGAGGAAGUAGGAAGGCCAGAGGUGGCGAGUGAGUGACUCCAAGCAAACAGGGUCAUCUGGAUCCAGCACUGAUGAGUGCAAGAUCUACUGGACUAUGAGAGCGCCCUCAAAACCUGCAUCGGUUCAACAGGACAAGAGUCCAGCAUGGAGAAAGGAGGGUGGACACAGGACUGAGAGGUCAGACUCACUUGUGAAGACAAGGACUCACUCCUAACUUUCUCAGCUAUUAGCAAUGGAUAUCAGGUGGGACAAGGAAAAUCGGGUUUCUCUAACCCAGUGGCUAGAUCACAGGGUAGGCCCAGUGCCCAAGAGAAGUUGGCCAAUAUAAAAUGGA
ensembl:lncRNA